rnacentral:rRNA from 1 species
AACGAACGCUGGCGGCAGGCUUAACACAUGCAAGUCGAACGAGAUCUUCGGAUCUAGUGGCAGACGGGUGAGGAACACGUGGGAACAUCCCUUUCAGUUCGGAAUAACGUUGGGAAACUAACGCUAAUACCGGAUACGUCCUUCGGGAGAAAGAUUUAUCGCUGAAAGAUUGGCCCGCGUCUGAUUAGCUAGUUGGUGAGGUAACGGCUAACCAAGGCUAUGAUCAGUAGCUGAUCUGAGAGGAUGAUCAGCCACAUUGGGACUGAGACACGGCCCAAACUCCUACGGGAGGCAGCAGUGGGGAAUAUUGGACAAUGGGCGCAAGCCUGAUCCAGCCAUGCCGCGUGAGUGAUGACGGCCUUCGGGUUGUAAAGCUCUUUUGUCCGGGAAGAUAAUGACUGUACCGGAAGAAUAAGCCCCGGCAAACUUCGUGCCAGCCGCCGCCGUAA